CUUCAGGGGAGGCACAGUCUCUUUACAGCCCCAUGGGGCUAAUGUCUCUUGCCAAACGAUUUGUUUUUAGUGAGCAUGUGCGACAAUCCUGGCCAGUGAGAGAGGAGGAAAGUGUGCAGGGAGGACUCGGGAAAGAAUUUUCUUACUCUCAAGAGAGGACACACGGCAGGGUCAUUUCAUGUUUCUGUCUCUGGAGGAAUGCUAAUCUAUAUUUAUUUAUUCAUUUAAUAAAUAUUUAUUGCUCAGCAUGCGUCCUGAAAUCCAAAGUCUACCUGUUGUCGAACCGGAAAGGAAUGGCUUUAAAAAUAUAGGUGAGUGUCAAAGGCACAUUCUAAUAAAAUCCUGUUCUUUAAAAGCAGGGUGGAAAUGUAAGAGAAAUAGCAGACUGGAGGAAGUAACGGCUGGGUCUCCAGCUAGACAGCUCUGAAGGCCUGGUUUUGUGGAGCAGUGAGGGGGAGGAAAUGCAUGCUGUGGACAAAGGCUAACGGCAAGGAGAAAGGAAGGAGAAGAACAGCACCAGGGCUCCAGGAAAAUCAACCAACUCCAAAGCCCAGGAGGUCAUAAAGCUUCAUGAGAGGAUGUAGUGCCAAAGUCCUGCCCUGGGGAGCAGAACAAACAGUCCAAGAAGCCGGGAAGACCAACAUGUGCUUGAACACGUGGAGUUUUCCAGAGGCUCCGUGAUGUGUGAUAUGGCAACAGAUUGAAUAUAGAAGCAAACACGAGAAUCCAGCUGCAAAAAGAUUUGCAGAACUGCAAAAUAAUGCCACUCUCCUCAUUAAUUUUUUUUGGUUUAGAAAAUAGUGCUAUUUUCAUUAAAGUAAAUUAUUUAUUC
rnacentral:lncRNA from 1 species